rnacentral:lncRNA from 1 species
AAUAUAUAAAUUAAAAACUGUUGGUUUUCUGAUUUCCUUAUAAAGUAGCUUUCAAUCGGCAUUCGGAAAUAGCGAAUGGCUUGAAGCAGGAAAAACCAUUAAAAUAUAACGUGAUGAAAUGGCUUAUUCUUUCCACAUUACAUUUUUAAAUGAUACUUAAACAUCUAGAACCAGCAGGUGGUGUGAUUUGUAUAAAUGGUGCAAAUAAUAAUAUUUUUUUACGAUACCAGCAAUUGUAUAUAAUACAAUUUUUGAUAAAACGGCGCACUUCACUAGUUAAGAGUAGAUUAUUAAAAUGCUUUCAGUUCGGUCUUUUUUAGUGCUUUGUUUAGGUAGAGCGUUACAAUUUGCUAUUAUUUAAUAUUCUUGGUUUUGUUUUACUUUAUUGCUGCGAUUUUCAAUAAACUUUCAGAGUACCUCUACUAAAGAAAUCAUCCCGCGUCAGCAUAAUCCAUCAUCAAAAACAACUCCAACAAGCACUUUUCAGAUCACAAGAAGACGGUGGAAGAGAAAUAUUAUGGAAUUACGGUUACCUAUAUUUAGGAAAUAUUACCAUAGGCAUACCACCUCAGCCGUUUAUAGUGCUGUUUGAUACCGGUUCUUCUCUUCUUUGGGUGCCUUCAAAACGUAGUUCGCUGGCCCGUAAUUCCGCAAUACAUAAAUACGACCAUUCAAAGUCUUCUACUUAUAAAAAGAAUGGUACCGAGUUCGUUAUCUCUUAUGUAUCUGGAGAUGUAAAUGGAGUUCUAUCGAAUGACGUAGCUAAUGUCGCUGGGUUAACUGCAAGUGGACAAACAUUUGGAGAAGUUUUAGAUUUGAGUCAUUUACCGCCUGAUAUACACUUUGACGGUAUCAUGGGAUUUGGGCUACCCUGCUUUGGAAAGUUCUAGAGUUAUGCCAUUUUUUAACAAUUUAAUUGAUCAGGGAGUUGUGCCGGAACCGGUAUUUAGUUUUUAUUUGAAUAGAGACGAAAAUGGUACAGUGGGAGGAGAACUCAUUUUGGGUGGAUCUGAUCCUAACUACUACACUGGAAACUU